rnacentral:rRNA from 1 species
GAUGAACGCUGGCGGCGUGCCUAAUACAUGCCAGUCGAGCGAACAGACGAGGAGCUUGCUCCUCUGACGUUAGCGGCGGACGGGUGAGUAACACGUGGAUAACCUACCUAUAAGACUGGGAUAACUUCGGGAAACCGGAGCUAAUACCGGAUAAUAUAUUGAACCGCAUGGUUCAAUAGUGAAAGACGGUUUUGCUGUCACUUAUAGAUGGAUCCGCGCCGCAUUAGCUAGUUGGUAAGGUAACGGCUUACCAAGGCAACGAUGCGUAGCCGACCUGAGAGGGUGAUCAGCCACACUGGAACUGAGACACGGUCCAGACUCCUACGGGAGGCAGCAGUAGGGAAUCUUCCGCAAUGGGCGAAAGCCUGACGGAGCAACGCCGCGUGAGUGAUGAAGGUCUUCGGAUCGUAAAACUCUGUUAUUAGGGAAGAACAAAUGUGUAAGUAACUACGCACGUCUUGACGGUACCUAAUCAGAAAGCCACGGCUAACUACGUG